rnacentral:rRNA from 1 species
CAACCUGCCCGGAAGUGGGGGACAACAGCCCGAAAGGGCUGCUAAUACCGCAUGUGGUCACGGUCUCGCAUGGGACUGUGUCUAAAGCUUUAUGCGCUUCUGGAUGGGCUUGCGGCCUAUCAGCUAGUUGGUGGGGUAAUGGCUUACCAAGGCGAUGACGGGUAGCUGGUCUGAGAGGAUGGCCAGCCACAUUGGGACUGAGAGACGGCCCAG